UGUUAAGGGAUGGGAAUCGAACCCACGACCUUCCGCUUACCGGGCAGAUGCCAUGACCACUAGGCUACUCUGGAC
rnacentral:tRNA from 1 species